UUUCUCUCACACAAGUGAGCCUCUAAGGACAAUCAAUACUUUUGUUAAUGUGCUUCAGUUCUUCUCUCACAGAAAAGAGCUUAAUUAUAUAACAGACAAUCAGUACUUCAGCCUGUUAAUAUUUUUAGUAGAUUCUUUACGUUCAUUGACAGCAAUACAGCCCUUCACAAUAUAUUAGCUCUUCAAAUAAUGAAAACAUUGCAUUACCAUUCAUGUCUCAAGAUUUUCUGGCAGUUCUCAACGUAAGUGAUACAGCCUCAUUAGAAAAAAAAA